CUUAAAAAAAAAAAAAAAUCAACUAUUGAUUUCAAAGGAGGCACCACCACGAAUUUUGGGCCUGUAAGUGGUUGGUGCCCAAAGGACAUUUUAGGAGUGCCUAGAUUAAUCACGAGGGAACCUUAAAUAAAAUAUAAAAUCUGAUCAGCGAUAUUCUAAUACUUACAAAACUUGGGUGUGUAUGACCUUGAGAUCCAUCAUUAUUCUUGUGAAACCAAUUCAUUUGUGUGGAAUUGUAACAACUAUUAGAAUUCUAGCAUCCAUUUAAAAGGGACAUUUGAAGUUAUUCUUAUUUCCACAUUGUAAUAGCAGAGAUUAAAGACUGGAUUGGAAAAAAAAAAAAGUUAAAACUUAGGAAGAUCGCUUUGGCCCUUUGCUGCCCAGCAGGCCCUCCCGGAUCCAGGAUGACAAGGGUGCUCCUGUCAUUCUGCACUAUUUGACUUCCUUCUGUGUUCUUUUGCUGAGUGCUUCCUAACCCCUUGAUGUCUCUUUUGAAAGGUGGGGACCCAAACUGUAUGCAUUGUUCCAGAUGCGUUCUUGCCAAAGCGGUAUAAAGCAAAUGUAACGGUUAGGAAGAAGGCUCCCUCCCUCGCUGGGUCCCUGGCGUCUGACACGCGGCGAGCUGUAGGAUAAGGACAUACCGAGACCUGCCUGAUGUUCCGAAUCCGGAAUCCCAGCGGGAACCAGAUGGACAAGCAUUCCUUCCACUAGGGCUCUUGCUGGUGGUUCUCUUCACUGAGUCUCAGUUUACUGUUGGUUUUCCCUUUCUUGCUAUUCUGUCUCUCUCCAAACCCCUCUUGACUGCCUUUCCUAGGGACAGACCUUAGAAAGGUGGGCCAGGACUUGGGGCUUUCGGCCCUGCUCCCUGCCGCCCCAAGCCGGCAGCCCUUGUACCCUGUCUUCAAGGCACCACCCCCUAAAGAGAUGCCUGAAGGCAUUAGCUUCUGAGAACCCACCUUGUUCUGCAUGACUAGCUUGUAAGGAGGGUUACAGGGAGAGAAUUUCCAAGAAUUUUCCACUUUUUUCAAAAAACGUAUGUGACUUAUUUUUGGCUUUGAACUGAGAGCAAACUUUGUGGCGUACAGCUGUUUACUUGUGCACAUCUGUGGAAUCCAGAGAGCUCCACACAACACUCCCUUUCCUGUCUGGGCUGUUUGUAUAAUUGUAUAUACGUGUAGCAAUAAAUACAUUCUAACAUCA